UACGAAGGGGGCUAGCGUUGCUCGGAAUCACUGGGCGUAAAGGGUGCGUAGGCGGGUCUUUUAAGUCAGGGGUGAAAUCCUGGAGCUCAACUCCAGAACUGCCUUUGAUACUGAAGAUCUUGAGUUCGGGAGAGGUGAGUGGAACUGCGAGUGUAGAGGUGAAAAUUUCGUAGAUAUUCGCAAGAACACCAGUGGCGAAGAACGGCUCACUGGCCCGGUACUGACGCUGAGGAGCGAAAGCGUGGGUAGCGAACAGG
rnacentral:rRNA from 1 species